UAGCCAUGUUAUUGUGUAGCUAUUGGUUUUAUGAACUCCUUCAGUCCUUUGUUUUUUUUUUAAUGUAAUUAUUAUUUAUGACGUGUUAUUUGUGACUGUUUGUACUUAAAAUUGCAUUUUGUUGGUUUGGUUUGUACUUUUUGAUUCCGCCACAAAGGUUCCUACUUGAGUGUUGUAGGUGUGGCAGCAGUCAGCGUCGCAAUUUUUUUUUUUGCGCCAAUUCCUGUCAGAAUCCACUUGGAUUUGGCGCUGUGUAAGCUGAGGAGAGGCUGUACGUCGCCGACUGCUCCGUUCAUUUUAGGUAGGUUAUGUAUUAUGUUCGAGAGGUAUUAUUGUUUAACAUUUUGUUUUGACUGUAAGUUAGCCAUUUGGUUGUAAGUUAAUAGGGAAGUUUUGUGUUUAUAUUUCAUUCUGUAUAGAUAUAAAAAAGAAUUUAUUACUCUUUCUGUCACACCUGUGUUGCGCGAUGUAAAAUUCCUGUCAGAAUCCACUUGGAUUUGGCGCUGUGUAAGCUGAGGAGAGGCUGUACGUCGCUGACUUCUCCGUUCAUUUUAGGGAAAUAAAUUACGACUUCCACAA